UUGAUGGGAUGGAUAGGAGGUAAGGCCCAAAGUGAAAGGAGAGAUGGCUUGACUGAUUUGGAGGCAUUCAGUCUCAUUCAGCCAAGUUUUUAUCUCUUAUCAGCAACUGCCCUUUUAACCGUCAGAAUUUGUUAUUGAUCUGUUACUUUCAACAUUAUGUGUUGAUAAGACACUGCUAUGAAAGUUUCAUUUUAAUGAAAUUUGAUUUUUAUCUGACAACAUUUUUCCUCAGUGUGUCACAACCGUGUCAUAUGAUAUUCUCGCUCUGUUUAGUUCCUGUUUUGGAGUUCUGAUUUGUAUCUGAGGGAAGUGGAUCUGGGCCCGGGGGACAAUGCAGGGCUGCGAAGCUCAGCCCGGGACGGGUCCAGAAUGGUUCCAGAAUGGUUCCAGAACUGGUCCAGAACGGAUCCAGAACGGGUCCAGAACGGAUCCAGAACAGGUCCAGAACGGAUCCAGAACAGAACGUGUGGGAUAAAUCUGUGAUCUCAGAGGCCAAAUCGAGGGGGUGCUGGCUGAACAACGUGCCUAUCAUCACACGCACGACAGUUGAGUAUUUCUGCCGUUUGUUUUUAAUGUCACGGGUUCUUGUCGUCUGGUUCAUAUUUAAUAUUGCCUUGUGCAUUCUUGCAUAUUUUGUAUUUGUGUACUCUGUUCUCUUGGCAAUGGGAGAUUGCAGUGAGGAUUAUAUUCCUGGUUAAAUACAGGAUACAUUUAAUAAAAAUGAGUCAGUGAAAGUUAUUUUGGAACUGAAGGUGGGUUAGUGGAACUGGAGUGGAGAUGUUGUACCUGGUGAUUUGACUAGUGGUUUGUAUUGUUGACUAACUAGUGGCUUGAAAUGUUGACUAACUAGUAGUUUGUAUUGUAGGUUGACUGGUUUGUGUUGUGAUUUGUUUGACUGUUGCAGUGACUGAACACCCCUCCCCCCCGGCCCCCACCCCAGCUCUAGUUUUGGGUCUCUGCCAGGCGGCCUUUCCUUCUGUUUACUCUCUGAACUUUAUCUCAAAGAAGCAGGCGUCAGAACCUCCGGACAGAAACAAAACCAACGCUGACCUCUGACCCUUCAACGACCAAUCACAUAGCUGCGCCUGACCACUGACCUGUACAAAGACCAAUCACAAAGAAGGAAAGGAGUUUAUUGACUGAGCCGAACUGCUGAAAUGUUUGGCACUGACCUGGCGCCUUCUCGGCAUCGUCGCGGCAACGUCCCGCCCUUGUUUUGGCAGCCCCGUUCCUGUGAAGGCCUUGGCUGUGUUUUCACCUGAAACAGAGACUCAUUCUGCUCAGGAGACUGCGGGGGCCAGGAAACGGCUUGUUUCCGCGUGAACGACACGCUUCCACGGCAGACGCAGCUGUGUGCGAAUCGCGGCUGGCUGGCCGGCGGUCUCCUGCAGAGAGGUGGACGCCUGCCCAAAUGAGUGGUCGGCGCAAGCGUGUGAUCCCAGCAGGACGCUGGACCCGCUGACCUCUCCCCGCCCUGAACACGCGGAGCCUGGACACGCUGACCUCUCCCCGCCCUGAACACGCGGCUGAACACGCGGCCCUGGACACGCGGCCCUGAACACGCAGCCUGGACACGCUGUUACAUUCUCACACAGGGAGCAUGUGCCAGGCCUAAGCUGGCAUUUCCCCUGCCAGAGCCAGCUGCUUCCUGCGGGCACGCUCGGACCCCUGAAGUCCGACGCUUCGGCCUGGUGAGCAGCUCCACGGACUUUCUGCUGCCAGGGGACACAGAACGAGGCAGCUGUGCUUUUCGUCGCUGCGAGGAGUGAUGUUUACUUCGGUCUGACGGUUGUGUUUUGCAAAGUAUGGCGUGCUCGAUCGCCCUUUCCUCCGAUUGCUUCCUGGCAUCGAACACGGAACUGUGGGAAUGUUCUGGGGGUCACACGCAGCUUCCCGUUGUUGAAUCCCCAGUCCGUGGUUUGAGGUUUCUCUGGAACAUUCUCUGGAAGCCUGAAGUCAGGGCAUUGUGGAAAAUGGCUUUGGAGAACCACCUUGAGCAUUGCCAGACCCUUUCACAGCCAUCUAAAAUGUUUAUAAGCAGUUGAUUCAAGUAUUCUUUGCUCGACUAAGGCUCCGUAUAAUGGGUGUGUGUCUGACCACAAAAAUAAAUCAGAUUUUCCUAAUCUAACAAAACCCAAACCAAAAUGUGCACAUAAAAAAGUGAACAUUACCCGUCAAAACACCAUACAAAAUAACAACAAACAAAAAAAAUCACCAAACAAAGCCACAAAAGUGUGUGUCAUCAUGCACAGCUCAGGCUGAGUCUACAGGCAGCACAGCUCAGGCUGAAUCUACAGGCAGCACAGCUCAGGCUGGAUCUACAGGCAGCACAGCUCAGGCUGGAGGCUGAAUCUAAAUUCAGCAAAUGCAUCUCCUCCCCCCUUCAGCUGCAGCAGGGCUAAGGUCGGGCCACAGGCUGGUGGAGGCAGUCAGAUCAUUGGCGGAUCUGUAAGGCAGAGCACCAAACCACAGGGAGAGAGAGAGAGAGAAGCACAGAUCACCAUGGCAAAAUACAUAUGUACCUGCAUACUACUUUCAGCACUUUCUAGCUGGGUUCAAAGGUCACCGCAUCAGGAUCUAUUAUGGGAUUUGUAGGCGAAAUGAGGCCUCUGUGACCGGGGUCAAGGGUCACCGCAUGAGCAUAAAACUCGCCCCGCUGUCUCUGUUUUCGUCCGGUCAGCCCUGAUGCCAGGGCCGUGCAGAGGGGAUCAGGAAUUCUGGGAUUUGUAGUCCUGAGUCAUGCCUCAUUGCUCUCAACCUGUUUCGCAGAUGUGCUCCUCCAGAGCAUAACAUGUACUACACAUGUUUUACACAUGAUCUGUCCGUGUGUUCUCACAUGUGACACGGUCGCCCCGCUGGGUUUUUGAUGGAGGAUUUCCGGGUAAAUACCCGGCUCACAGGGCGCGGCGGCGGCGGAGUCCCAGGCUCGCAGCUGUCCUGCUGCCAAAAAACGACCCGGACAAAUCCCCAAAAACGGAACGCCACGAAAAUCAGAACAAACACGACGAUUAGGGCAGAGCUUCGCUGUGCAGUCAGUCCUCUUUCCUUUCUCAAAAUUAUACUGUUUUGUGUGACUCAUCUCAUGCACAACAUGCUGCAGAUGUGGAUUCGCAAGAUAUUAAAAUAUCCAACAUCACAGAGUCAGAUACAUCAGAGUCGUCAGACCUAUCCUGAAAUGUUUUGGAAAUUGUACUUUAUAAGUCAGAUAAAAGCGGGAAAUAUUUGCAGCGUGAGCUCAGAGUUGUUCUCAAUCCCCGAAGCCCUCCGCAGGCUCUGACUCUCGGCCUCCAUGGCGCACGGGAUCAGAUGCAUCUGUUUCUGUUUUGGCUCGCUGACGUCAGUGUGCCCGCUGGUGAGAGACCCCUCGCGUCUGUUACCGUAACGACAGCGCCGGAUUCUGUACGUCUGAGCAGGCACAGCUGCUGGAGUUCUCCGAUGCUUCACUUGUAAGUCAUGAACGGACAGUAGAGUGACUCUGUCGCGAGCGAGACUCCAUUUCGCAAGAGGGAAACGGGAUAUCCAGUGAGGUAGACCACCACUGUGACCUCAUCGUUUUUUUGGACGCAUUCGCCGUUCCAUUUUUGUUUAGUGUGCUCGUUAUGCACGGAACACUGAAAAGACUAACGCACAACUCACGAGUGGGGGAACUGACCACCGUCUCACCUCAGCGAUUCUGUUGUAUUCCCUUGCCGUGUAAUGCAAUAUGCUCUUUUAGUCCAACCCAAAAUAACCUUGCAAUAACCAAAUUGCAAAAACUCUCUCUUGACUGCAAAUCCUGCCCUGUGACUCAUUGUGUUUUCUUUUCCUUAUAGAAAACAGAUUGUGUGAGUUUUUUGUUCUUUUCUUUUUUCUUGAAGCAAUGAAAACCGCCUGGAUCAAAACAUCUUUUGGCCCCAAAUGCAUUACAUUUUAGAAAAUUGCCUUCUUGAGGAAGAAAGAACAUAUUACGUAAAACUUAUUUAUGAUAGUGUUUUGGCUGUCCAGCUAAAAAAACUAUGGCCUAUUUGACGACCAGUAGUAGUAAUAAUGCCUGGCUUGAUUAAUGUGCUGCAAAUGUUGGCUUUUGCGCCCUGAUUUUGAUGUGGUUGGCCAUCUGCUUGUGAAUUCGUCGAACUGGUCAGCCCCAAACGGAACAUGCUCGUUGAUUCAUAGCACGUUCGGCCUCUGCGCAGUUUGCCAGUUCACUUCGGACAUUCCGAUGAUGAAGCGAGGACAGGGAAGACAAACUGAAACGGCGGAAAUACCGUACGACUCGCUCGCUGCCACAGUCCAUAUUCAACACACACAUAAUAUAAUAACAUAUAAAUUAACACAUAAUUGAUACAGUUCACGUUUCUUAUGUGUGCGGAGUAUAGGCAGGAGGAAGACAUUCAUGUGUGGCUCAGCAGGUGGACUUCCCGGAUCGACCAGCAGGGGUCAGUGGUGCACACUGAGAUUCCUGUCUGACCGACACCCUCCUGUCUCUGGAGCAAAACUAGAGACAGUAGCACAUCUCCCUGCGGGGCUGCCAAUCACAGCUGGCACUGGCAUGUCGCAUACCAGUGUGGGGGGGGGGGGGGGGUCCAUCUUUGCUCUGGAAGAGUAAUUAGCAGGAUGAGCCACUCAGCACCCCUUGAUAUAUUAUUUUUUUAAUUCUGGGAAACUUUGGAGACGGAGCUAAAAGCAGCGGCUGCUGGUGCCUUUCUGCCAUGAAGCAGGCAACGGAAAAGAAGUUGUGAAACACGAACGUUGCUGGAACGAUGCUGGAAUCCAUCACCGUAAAUAUCCAGUGGAGAAAAAAAAGAAGAAAAAAAAAAGCUGCUUGUUUAUAAAAAGAGCACAUCCUGAGAAAGGAGUGGAUGCCAACGAUCAACAGUUUCCAAACCGUUUUGCGGAGUGAGUUAUGGCCUCUUUGUAUGAGCAGCAUUUGGCUCCUGACAGGCGGAAAGGGGUUCAGAGGUCCCUCGCUCGUGUUUUUGUUCUAAAAACUCGAAGCAGGAAUCCGUGCCGACCCAACACCUCACUCAUGCAACGCGAGGACAUCGGUUCUGCUUAUCUGGGUUAACAGCCCGGGAUGAACUGACUAACCUGUCCCCCCCCCCCCCCCUCGCCCACACACACACACACACACAAAGAAUGAGUGGGUUAGAUAAUGGAUGGAUUGCUUAAGAGCUACUGGAGCUCAAGUGGCCAAUGAUGAAUAGCAGCCAAUCAGCCAAAGUAGACUUCCCAGCGGUUCGAAUGUGAAGAUGGU